rnacentral:rRNA from 1 species
GACGAACGCUGGCGGCGUGCUUAACACAUGCAAGUCGAACGGAAAGGCCCCCAUCUUGGUGGGGGUGCUCGAGUGGCGAACGGGUGAGUAACACGUGGGUGAUCUGCCCUGUACUUCGGGAUAAGCUUGGGAAACUGGGUCUAAUACCGGAUAGGACCAUGGUUUAGUGUCUCAUGGUGGGAAGAUUAGUGUUUUGGUGCAGGAUGAGCGCGCGGCCUCUCAGCUUGUUGGUGGGGUAAUGGCCUACCAAGGCGUCGACGGGUAGCCGGCCUGAGAGGGUGGCCGGCCACAUGGGGACUGAGGUACGGCCCAGCUUCCGGCGGGAGGAAGCAGUGGGGAAUAUUGCACAAUGGGAGCAAGACUGAUGCAGCGCCGCCGCGUGGGGGAUGACGGCCUUCGGGUUGUAAACUCCUUUAGUUAGGGACGAAGCCGCACUUUUUUUGGGUGUGGUGACGGUACCUUUGUUAAGAAGCACCGGCUAACUACGUG